rnacentral:rRNA from 1 species
GAUGAACGCUAGCUACAGGCUUAACACAUGCAAGUCGAGGGGAAACGACAUCGAAAGCUUGCUUUUGAUGGGCGUCGACCGGCGCACGGGUGAGUAACGCGUAUCCAACAUGCUUAUCACUUGGGAAUAACCUUGCGAAAGUAAGACUAAUACCCAAUGACAUCCCACGAAGACAUCUGAAUGGGAUUAAAGAUUUAUCGGUGAUGGAUGGGGAUGCGUCUGAUUAGCUUGUUGGCGGGGUAACGGCCCACCAAGGCAACUAUUAGUAGGGGUUCUGAGAGGAAUGUCCCCCAGAUUAGAACUGAAACACGGUCCAAACUCCUACGUGACAGAGCAGUAACGAAUAUUGGUCAAUGGGCGAGAGCCUGAACCAGCCAAGUAGAGUGCAGGAUCACGACCCUAUGGGUGGUAAACUGCUUUUAUAAGGACAUACAGUGGGUCUCGUGAGACUUUUUACAUGUACCUUAUCAAUAAGGACCGGCUAAUUCCGUG